AAAAAGACAAACCCUAGGUUUCCGUGACAACGUUUGACAUCAUAUAUGAAAUUUUUUUAUAAUUAGUAUUUUUAUCGUUGUUAGAUGAUAAAACAUGAUUAAUACUUUAUGCGUGACUUAUCUUUUUAAUUUUUUUCAUAAUUUUUUCAAAUAAGACGGACGGUCAAAUGUUGAUUACGGAAACCAGGGUUUGUCUUUUU
rfam:Oryza sativa Japonica Group DNA, chromosome 5, cultivar: Nipponbare, complete sequence.